rnacentral:miRNA from 1 species
CGGUCGAAUCGGAUCUCACAGA